GAUGAACGCUGGCGGCGUGCCUAAUACAUGCAAGUCGAGCGAACGGACGAGAAGCUUGCUUCUCUGGUGUUAGCGGCGGACGGGUGAGUAACACGUGGAUAACCUACCUAUAGGACUGGGAUAACUUCGGGAAACCGGAGCUAAUACCGGAUAAUAUUUUGAACCGCAUGGUUCAAAAGUGAAAGACGGUCUUGCUGUCACUUAUAGAUGGAUCCGCGCUGCAUUAGCUAGUUGGUAAGGUAACGGCUUACCAAGGCAACGAUGCAUAGCCGACCUGAGAGGGUGAUCGGCCACACUGGAACUGAGACACGGUCCAGACUCCUACGGGAGGCAGCAGUAGGGAAUCUUCCGCAAUGGGCGAAAGCCUGACGGAGCAACGCCGCGUGAGUGAUGAAGGUCUUCGGAUCGUAAAACUCUGUUAUUAGGGAAGAACAUAUGUGUAAGUAACUGUGCACAUCUUGACGGUACCUAAUCAGAAAGCCACGGCUAACUACGUG
rnacentral:rRNA from 1 species